CUACGGGAUGCUGCAGUAAGGAAUAUUGCGCAAUGGAGGCAACUCUGACGCAGCCAUGCCGCGUGCAGGAAGAAGGCCUUAUGGGUCGUAAACUGCUUUUAUUUAGGAAUAAACCCCCGAACGUGUUCGGGGCUGAAGGUACUAAACGAAUAAGCACCGGCUAACUCCGUGCCAGCAGCCGCGGUAAUACGGAGGGUGCAAGCGUUAUCCGGAUUUAUUGGGUUUAAAGGGUGCGCAGGCGGGCUAUUAAGUCAGUGGUGAAAUCCCGGGGCUCAGCUCCGGAACUGCCAUUGAUACUGAUAGUCUUGAGUUUGGUUGAAGUGGGCGGAAUGUAGCAUGUAGCGGUGAAAUGCAUAGAUAUGCUACAGAACACCAAUCGCGAAGGCAGCUCACUAAGCCAAAACUGACGCUCAUGCACGAAAGCGUGGGGAUCAAACAGGAUUAGAUACCCGAGUAGUC
rnacentral:rRNA from 1 species